rnacentral:rRNA from 1 species
GGCGAACGGGUGAGUAACACGUGAGUAACCUGCCCUUGACUUUGGGAUAACUUCAGGAAACUGGGGCUAAUACCGGAUAGGAGCUCCUGCUGCAUGGUGGGGGUUGGAAAGUUUCGGCGGCUGGGGAUGGACUCGCGGCUUAUCAGCUUGUUGGUGGGGUAGUGGCUUACCAAGGCUUUGACGGGUAGCCGGCCUGAGAGGGUGACCGGCCACAUUGGGACUGAGAUACGGCCCAG